rnacentral:rRNA from 1 species
UGGAUAUCUGCCUUUUGGUUCGGAAUAACCCCGGGAAACUGGGGCUAAUACCGGAUGGUUCCUUCGGGAUAAAGAUUUAUCGCCAAAAGAUGAGUCCGCGUCCGAUUAGCUAGUUGGUGAGGUAAUGGCUCACCAAGGCGACGAUCGGUAGCUGGUCUGAGAGGACGAUCAGCCACACUGGGACUGAGACACGGCCCAGACUCCUACGGGAGGCAG